UAGUACUUCCUUAUUCAGCCAUGAGUAGUA
rnacentral:piRNA from 1 species